UGAGAUGGUAUCUCGUUGUAGUUUUGAUUUGCCUUUCUCCAAUGAUCAGUGAUAUAGUGAACUUUCUUUUUAAUAUCACAUACUGUGAAUGGGUGAAGAAUCUGAAAGUGAAAUCCCAAGUGUGGUUUCUGUUUCCCCAUCUCCCAUGCGCACCCACCUCCGAUGGCUAGGAAAUUACAUUAUACCCCCCAUAUUAUUUUGUUUGUGUGUCUUUUCCUCUAACUGGAUCUAGAAGCCAGUUGCAAGCUUCAUUUUUGUGUUGUGUGAGUGCUUUUAUUUAGGUGGACUUCAUAAUAGGUGCAUAUGAUAUCACAUCAAUGCGCUGAAGUCUUAAAUUUAAUAAUACUCAUUUAUGUCCUUGUUCCCUUUGGUUAGAUUAUUCAGAAGAACAAUUUCUCAUGAAAAUUAGGAAAUAUUUAAUUAACCAACCUGAGUUACAAGGUUGGAAAAAAGAGAAAGAGGUCAGGUAAAAUUGUUUUAUGUUAGAGAGUUGAUGAAAUUUUCUAAGAAAUGGAAAUUUUGAUAACCAGAUAAUUUUUGCUUGAGCCUUAUGACUUAUAUAUGUUGGUGGCACUUACUCAGGUCUUAGACAUACUUCUUUCAAUAUUGAGCAAAUAUAUUUAGAUUGUCCAGCAAUCACUUUGAUGGGCAGUAAAGAUAUUAAGAUGCGGAUAGGUCACAUUAAUAGAAAUUUCUUUCUUUCUUUUUUUUUUUUUUUUUUUUUUUUUUUUUUGCUGUACUUUCCCCAUUGCUCAGCACAGCAGCUGGCAGAGUAAGCAUUCAGCAACUAUUUGUUAAACAACUAGAGUCAAAACUAAAGGGAAGGGUGAAGGAUGACCAAAAUUGUUUCUUGGGGAAUUGAGUUGCCUUCGUUACCUGAGACCUGAAUUCCUUGAUUUUAUGGUUCAUCUUGACACAUAUUUACCUGCUUGUGCCAGAAUUUAGCUUAGAGAUUACAUUUUUUGUGCAUGGAUACAUUUGGCAAUCAGGUAAAGCAUUUAGAUACUUUCUCAGAAUAAUGCUUUUACAUGUAUAAAAUAAAAUGCAUGGUUACAAA